UACGAAGGGUGCAAGCGUUACUCGGAAUCACUGGGCGUAAAGCGUGCGUAGGCGGUUUCUUAAGUCUGUCGUGAAAGCCCUGGGCUCAACCUGGGAAUGGCGAUGGAUACUGGGAGGCUAGAGUGUGAUAGAGGAAGGUGGAAUUCCCGGUGUAGCGGUGAAAUGCGUAGAGAUCGGGAGGAACACCAGUGGCGAAGGCGGCCAUCUGGAUCAACACUGACGCUGAGGCACGAAAGCGUGGGGAGCAAACCGG
rnacentral:rRNA from 1 species